AUGAAGAGGCAUCCGUUGGUCGUUGUGAUGCUAUUCGUCUCUUUUCUGUUCUUUAGCUGUGGCCGGGGAAGAAGUUCAGCGAUCUCGGAAAGCGACUUCGAACUGGAGAGAGAGCUCAAGAUGCUUAACAAGCCCUAUGUCAAAUCCUUCAAGGAUAAUUAUGGGGUAAUUUUUGACUGCAUUGACAUUUACAAGCAGCCUGCAUUCGAUCAUCCUCUCCUGAAGAACCACAUACUACAGUUCGCCCUGGUGUUGUUAGACAGCGAGAAAGGCAAGACAUUCCAGGGCGCGAGUGCUUCGAUCGAGGUGUAUUAUCUCCCUAUGCCGUCAAAUGCUGCUUCCACAGCUCAGAUGCUGGUUGUGGACGACAGGUCAAGUAAUGUCACCGUCGUGCAAGCUGGAUGGCAUAUUGAUCCUGGCCGCGAAGGCGACGGGCAGAGCCGUUUAACGGUUUACUGGACGGCUGAUGACUACAAACAGACGGGCUGCCCUAACACACAGUGCCCUGGAUUUGUGCUGGUAAACCAAUAUGUGGCCCCUGGGACGGCCUUUCCGGCUGGAUCAUCGAUUGAUUUAACCAUCUCCAGGGAUGACCAGACCGGGCACUGGCUAGUUUCAGUCAGCGGACUCAUUGUGGGCUACUUCCCCCGCGCCAUAGUCAACGGCAUGGACGGCAGCACCCAGGUCCAGGUGGGAGGGACCGUGUACGCGCCACCGGGGAGUAAGAGACCUCCCAUGGGCAGCGGCAUCGCACCGGGGCCCAACAGUAACAACGGCGCCGCCAAGUUCAAGUGGUUAACUGUCCGCGGCAGCACGAACUUCAAGUUUAGGAAGACCAAGAACGUCGACGACUCCAGCAUAUACGACGUUGUGGUCACUUCAGCUUCACAAAAUGGUCCUGAUGGAUUUUCCUUCCAGUAUGGUGGCCCCGGAGAUGCAUAG
rnacentral:rRNA from 1 species